UGAAAAAAUUCAAAAAGAAGCAUGGAAUAAAAAUUCAAAAAAGAAGAAUGGAAUUGGUACGAUACGAGAUAUCUACGGAUUCCACUCUUCUUUUUUGA
rnacentral:ribozyme from 1 species